GAUGAAGAACGUAGUGAAAUGCGAUAAGUAGUGUGAAUUGCAGAAUUCAGUGAAUCAUCGAAUCUUUGAACGCACAUUGCGCCCCUUGGUAUUCCAUGGGGCAUGCCUGUUCGAGCGUCAUUUGUACCUUCAAGCUUUGCUUGGUGUUGGGUGUUUGUCUCUCCUUUGCGUGUAGACUCGCCUUAAAAUAAUUGGCAGCCGGCGUAUUGAUUUCGGAGCGCAGUACAUCUCGCGCUUUGCACUCAUAACGACAGCGUCCAAAAGUACAUUUUACACUCUUGACCUCGGAUCAGGUAGGGAUACCCGCUGAACUUAAGCAUAUCAAUAAGCGGAGGA
rnacentral:misc_RNA from 1 species